rnacentral:misc_RNA from 1 species
ACACCUCAACUCCUCAUGGUUCGCUGUGAUGAGCUUGGACUUUGGGGGUCUUGCUGGCCUGCGGUCGGCUCCUCUCAAACGAAUCAGCUUGCCAGUGUUUGGUGGCAUCACAGGUGUGAUAACUAUCUACGCUUGUGUGGUCUUCCACCGGAUAACCUUCAGCAAUGGAGGUCCACUGGAGCUCAUAAAUGUCUCUCCUCAGCGAGGACAGCUCUUUGAAU